AUUCCAUUCUACAGAACCAAGAGAAGGAUAUCAAAGAUAAAGUAGAAAGUAAAAUUAAAUUACCUUCAUCUCCCUUGCUCUCUCCAAAUAUGUGUAUGAAUGACAUAUCUCCUCAACUAAUUCAAAAAAGGAGACUGAAAAUAAAACAAUCUUGUCCAAUUUAAACCUAGCAUAAACAGUACAAGAAAUAUUAAUUUCCCCCCUAGAGCUUCCGUGCCAGCACCCCCGUCCCAGGUGGCCCCAAUAGAAGAAGAUGCCGCAACUUGUUCUUGUUUGUCCAUCGAUGAACCGAAUGCCAAAGUUAGGUCGGAAGACAUUCGAAGAAAAUAACAGAGAGAAAAGAUAAGAAAACCGAAAUAGGGAAAGAGAUUAGUUGAUAGACUUGUUAUCUAAUUUAUUACGCCAACUUUUGCGCCGUCGUCGGCCACCACUGCCCGCGCUACAGAAACUGUUGUGGCAUGGUGAGGAGAUGACAUCGCCGACGAUGAGGGAGAUCAGAAAUGAUAAAGCAUUGUCGCACAAGUGGGCAUUUACCACAUUUCUGCCCGGAACCGCGGAAAGCAGCGGACCGACCGCGGGAGCCAGUCAAAGGUCUCGGGCAACAGUGAUGGGCCGCAGAAAUUUACAUAAAUCGAUUCUACCGCAAUGUCACAAACAAUUAUUUCACAGCUUUUUAUAUAGUAAAGCAGCAGUGAAGCCGUCCGACCCGAAGCCAUAGCAGGAUUCUUAAUUAUGGCAUGAAGUGCGGCGUGGGUAAAGUUGUUGCGGGUUCUUCCUCCACAUCAAACAGGGCUCUUCACGUCUUCUUCCUCUCGAUCGAACGCAGUUUCUUCCUCCAUGGCUAGCUACGUGUACGGCACCAUCGUGCUAGGUGGGAUUAGAUUCCAGGACCUUGGAAUAACUUUCAAAGGUCAUCACCAGCUUAAUUAGCUUGUGUCCCCAACUCAUUUAAUUUAAUUAUUGUUUAGUUUUUGGAUAAAUGCAAUCAUGAUACUCUAUGCUCUUUGUUGUCUAUUUGUCUUGAGUUAUUCUGUGCAUUGUUUAGCAUAAACAUACUUUAAGUGUUCGUUUGGGGUAGUUGUAGCUUUUUUGCAAAGGUGGUUGCAAAGCUAUUGCGGGUAAAAUGACUUUCUUAAAAGCUACUAUAGGCAUUAUAAAUAUUUUAUAUUUUUGAAAAAAAUUAGACAUCAACAUUCUUAGAGCUACCAUACCAUAUUUUAUCUAAUUUAAUUGUGAAAAUGGUAAUGGUUACUAACUUCUCAAAUUUGUCAAUGCAUCUAUAAUGAUUCUCGGGAUGUUGCAACAUAAUCUCAGUGAAUGAUAUGUUUGUUAUUGGAAAGAAUUUAUUAGUAUGUGAUUUGUGUCUAUGCAUGUAUAUGUUUUGUCUAUCAUAAUUAUUCUUUCUAUAAUGGCAACCAGAGAAAAGCCUUGACAAUUUGCGGUGUCAUUCAUUGACAGUUUCAUGAUCUUGCUGAAUUGUUUCCUAUUGGUGGAAAGGUAUUCUUUUUCCAACAACGAGAUUUUAAGAAUAUUUUAUGCAUGCUAUAAAUUGAAACUUGAUUCUGUUUUAGGAUGUAAUGUGUGACAAUUUGUCAUUUGUAAAUUCUUAAAGCUAGGGAUAUCUGUCAUUAUUACUAAUGAAAAUCCUAUCUGAUUAUAGUGUCCAGAUACAAAUCACUUAUUCAUAGGAGAUUAUGUUGAUCAUUGCUCUGUUGAAACCGUCACAGUAAGAAGUUUCACAUCUGUACUGUUUUCCUUAACUAAAUAUUUUCUAAUUAUUUGUAAUUUGUAUUAUAUUAAAAAUUGUUUGACUAUCACACUCCCACAUUGAAAGCAACUAAAAAGGGGAAAAAAAUACAAUAGUCUUUUUUUCAUUUCCUAGCUAUUUAGUCUUGGCUGGCUGACUUAUAUGACUAUUCUUCUGUUUUGUUUUUGAGGUCGUACUAGUAUAUUGUGGACCCUUACUAUUUUCAUGACUUAUGUUCUUUAUUUAACAACUCCUUGUUGCCCUCAAAGUUCGAUACUCUCAGAGAAUCAACAUCCUUGGGGAAACCACGAAAGUCAGCAUGUCUACUGAUAUAGCCAUUAAUGGAGUUUCCCAUUUUUUGUCAUGAAUAUGGUAAGAGAAAGCCAUUUCAUUAUAUGAACUUAUAAUCCGUUUGAUGAUGUUUUGUCUCUUCAUGCUAUUGAUGAUGAAAUAUUCCCCUCAUUGUGAUGAAAUUGCUGAUCACACAAGUUUAUGGAUUUUAUGAUGAAUGAUUAAGAAAGUGAGUUUCAAUCAUCUCAAAAUCUUUAUGUUUUUUUUACAAAUAUAUAUUGAUGUCAAACAUUUUUUUGUUUGGAAGCAUGCCUUUUGAUCCUUUGAUUACUAAGGCUUCGUUUAGGAUGGCUCUUUUAUUGUUUCUUAAAGCAACUUUUUAGCACAAAAAUUAAAAUUUUUGUGCUAAAAAGUUGCUUUAAGAAGCAGCAAAAAAGGCCAUCGUAAAUGAAGCAUAAGUCUUCAGAUCAAUAAAGUGCUUUUGAAAAAUGAAGAACUAUGAAGUUCACAUGUACUAGAAUUGUGGAAUUUUUUCUUUGUAAUUAAAGCUGCGUAGAUGGUCAUAGCGCACAUUUUGUUGUAGUUCUCUUACAGCCACAUAUUGCUAUUCCUCAUUUUAAAUUAAUAAAUUAUACUUGGUUAAUGCUCUUCCUUGUACUUCAUAUAGUUAGUACUAAGGCUCGAAGAGUUGCUGGAAGGUUCAAUUUACCUAUCAUUGGUGUUCAUUACACGGAAGCUCAUGCUCGUGUUGCUAGGUUUGAAAAAUUCUACUCAAAAUUUUGUCCUUUAUUACUUCAACCUGCUGUGUUCUUUGAUUGCUAUUCUAGAAACUUGAACUAUAGCAACAACAGGAGGCCAUAACCAUUCUACAUUAACUAGUUUUGCUAACAGCUACGGCCAUCCCAAGUUGACUCUUAAAACAUCAAACGACCAAACAUCCAUUACUACAUACUCAAAAAAUUGUGAAUUAAUUAUGGGCUUCAAUACCUCACUUUCAAAGAGUUAAAUCUCAUGCAUUUGUUGCCAGAGCACCUGUCCAUCCUUGGAAAAAUUAUUAGGUGCGGAGUGCAGACGGGGUGAGAACCGUCUGCACAGACACAGGGUACCGAGCGGUACCCAGUGGUACCGAGCGGUACCGAACGGUACCGAGCGCGGUUUUAUACUAGUGUGCGGAUGGUUCUCCCGUCCGCACUCCGCACCUAAUAAUUUCUCCCAUCCUUGAUGACCAGUCAAACAUUCACUUUGAUUGUGUUCCUCUAGAAUUUGUGACAGACGUCCUGAAACAAAUCAAGCUUUCUAUAUCAAACAGAUCCGCCUCUUGAAAUAUUGAUGAAACAUUGAGAUGAUCGACAGAGAAAGACCUUAAGGAUCUUAUCACACCGCAAGUGUGGUAUACGGUAAUGAUGGCCCCUAGGAUAUGCUGACUGGCGCGAUCUAAAGGCGCGACAUACAGAUUGCUAUCACACAUGAGUUCGAAAGUCAUGAUGAUAUUACUGAAGAAUAUUUUAUCAGCAUUUUUGUGCAGUUAGCAGUAAUCGUUCGAAGAAUAUGUUUAUCAGCACUUUGUCAACUGAUCAACUCAGGAAAGUACUACUGCCACAAUGAGGUAAUUUGAAUAUAUUCUAUUAUACCAUUAUUAAGAGUAUUAUCUGUUUUAUUACAUUAUUGAGAGACAACAAUGUUAGAGAUGCAGGUGCACCUGAUGGAGUUCUCAACUACUAUUCAAAGAGAUGAAUGAUGUCCGCCAAAAAAUUGUUUUAAUCAUUAUUUUGAAUAUCGGAUCGAAUCGGUCAAUUCAACCGGUUUAAUUGUGAA